UACGAACCGUCCAAACGUUAUUCGGAAUUACUGGGCUUAAAGGGUACGUAGGCGGCGCUGUUAGUCGGGUGUGAAAGCCCACGGCUCAACCGUGGAAUUGCGCCCGAUACUGCAGUGCUUGAGGGAGACAGAGGUAAGCGGAACUGAUGGUGGAGCGGUGAAAUGCGUUGAUAUCAUCAGGAACACCGGUGGCGAAAGCGGCUUACUGGGUCUCUUCUGACGCUGAGGUACGAAAGCUAGGGUAGCGAAGGGG
rnacentral:rRNA from 1 species